AGUUCAAUCAGAAAGCUUGACAAUGCUGAGUUCUUCAAAAUUGUUCCUUUUGUUCGGGGUUGUGUUGCUGACGCUGGCGCUGGUGGCCGAAAAUGAAGUGAGCGCUGCACCAGCUCCCGUUCCUGAACCAUGUGAAGAAAAGAAACCCGUAAAACCGAAGAAAAUGGUAAAGAAAAAGGGGAAAUUCGAGAACUUUAUGGAUGACUGCUUCGGCUAAGAAUUCCACGUCCCAUCAAAUAACUCGUGACAUCAAGACGGAAUUGUGUGCGUAGUAGACCAGUGUUAUU